GGAUGGUUGCAGCUGUGGUGUCAUUGUUGUUGAAAUGGCCAGAGCAGUGAUGGAAGCCUUCCCUGAGUUCCCCAAAAUGAACUUCUCAACAAAAAGGAGAGCCAUGGAAGAGGCGAGGAGAGAUAUGGCUCUCCAAGUCCUUGAAUCAUCAGUCUUUGAUGAGGAGACUUCUUCGAUGUGUGGAGCUGACAAGCCCCCUGGACAAGCACCUCCCGUUACAGACUGG